rnacentral:rRNA from 1 species
GGGUGCGUUUGGUGCUGGCGAGUGGCGGACGGGUGAGUAACACGUAGGAAUCUGCCCAACAGUGGGGGACAACCCGAGGAAACUCGGGCUAAUACCGCAUACGCCCUACGGGGGAAAGCGGGGGACUUUCGGGCCUCGCGCUGAUGGAUGAGCCUGCGUCGGAUUAGCUUGUUGGUGAGGUAACGGCUCACCAAGGCGACGAUCCGUAGCUGGUCUGAGAGGAUGAUCAGCCACACUGGGACUGAGACACGGCCCAGACUCCUACGGGAGGCAGCAGUGGGGAAUAUUGCACAAUGGGCGAAAGCCUGAUGCAGCCAUACCGCGUGGGUGAAGAAGGCCUUAGGGUUGUAAAGCCCUUUCAGUUGGGAAGAAAAGGUCGGGGAUAAUACCCCCGGUUCUUGACGGUACUUACAGAAGAAGCACCGGCUAACUCAGUGCCAGCAGCCGCGGUAAUACUGAGGGUGCAAGCGUUAAUCGGAAUUACUGGGCGUAAAGCGCGCGUAGGCGGUCUGGUCAGCCAGAUGUGAAAGCCCCGGGCUUAACCUGGGAAUUGCGUUUGAAACUGCCAGGCUAGAGUGUGGUAGAGGGAAGUGGAAUUCCGCGUGGAGCGGUGAAAUGCGUAGAGAUGCGGGAGGAACACCAGUGGCGAAGGCGACUUCCUGGACCAACACUGACGCUCA